CCGAGUUUACAACUCCCAAACCCCUGUGAAAUACCACUUGUUGCCUCGGCGGAUCAGCCCGCUCCCGGUAAAACGGGACGGCCCGCCAGAGGACCCCUAAACUCUGUUUCUAUAUGUAACUUCUGAGUAAAACCAUAAAUAAAUCA
rnacentral:misc_RNA from 1 species